UCCCUUACCCAAACAAAAAGAAAAACAACCUCUGCACUUUUGUUUCUGUUUUUCGAUUUCGUUUUCUUCGUUGGGAGGGUCUUCCUCCGGCUCCUCCCCCUCCUGAAAUACCAUGUGAACACCUUCCCCCUUAAACCCUUGGCGUGUUUCUUCCCCUUGCAUGCUUUCUGUUUUUCUCCAACCAAAAUGGUGAAACCUGCAUUGGGUUUUGGGGGUUCCUUGAUAUAUGGCCUCGUCUUCCUAGUUGUCUCAGCCACGUGUCAAGACGCUGAGGUCAUGGAAAUUCUGAAGAACUCCAUCAACGCCUCCCUUACCUUCCAAUGGACAGGUCCAGAUGUAUGCAAAUGGAGGCACGUUGAAUGUGAUUCAUCAAGACGCGUGGUGGCUAUUCAGAUUGGGAACCAGAACCUUCGGGGAUCUCUCCCCAAGGAGCUUGCGAAGCUAACCGCGUUGGUACAUUUCGAGUGCCAAAGCAACACUCUCUCAGGGCCAUUCCCCUACCUCUCUAAAUCCCUGCAGAAGUUGAUAAUCCAUGACAACCAGUUCAGCUUCAUCCCCGGCGAUUUCUUCAAGGGCAUGAGCAAUCUGCAAGAGGUGAGAAUCGAUGACAACCCUUUCUCUCAAUGGCACAUUCCCCAAACUCUCAGCGAUUGUGUUGCACUCCAAACUUUCAGUGCUCAGAGUGCUGGCCUUGUGGGCACAAUCCCUGACUUCUUCGGGAAAAAUGGCCCCUUCGCAGGUUUGGUUCUUUUGGCCUUGUCUGAUAAUUUCCUAGAAGGUCCUUUGCCUGCAAGCCUCUCCGGUAGUUCAAUAGAAAACCUUUUGGUGAAUGGACAGAAUAGCGUGUCUAAGCUAAAUGGAACUCUUGCUGUCUUACAAAACAUGAGAUCCUUGAGGAUGGUUUGGGCUAAUGGUAACUCAUUCACGGGUCCUAUACCUGACAUGUCACACCAUGAUCAACUUGUUUAUGUGAAUCUAAGGGAUAACCAGUUGACUGGUGUUGUUCCACCCUCCCUAGCAGCUCUUCCAAGUCUCAAGUUUGUGAACUUAACCAAUAACCUUCUUCAAGGGUCCCCUCCAAGGUUUAAAUUUGGUGUAGGAGUUGACAAUAACAUGGAUAGAGGGAGGAAUCAAUAUUGCACAAACGUGCCGGGGCAGCCAUGUAGUCCUAUUGUGAAUGCUUUGCUAUCAGCUGUUGCACCUUUGGGUUAUCCUCUCAAGCUUGCUCAGAGUUGGCAGGGUAAUGAUCCUUGUGCUAAUAAAUGGGCUGGUAUAAUUUGCUCUGGUGGAAACAUUUCAGUUAUUAACUUUCAGAACAUGGGUUUGACUGGCACUAUUUCUCCAUCUUUUGCUAGCUUCACUUUUAUGACAAAGUUGCUUCUUUCUAACAAUGCUCUCACUGGUACCAUACCACGUGAGCUUGCUACUUUGCCCCUUCUGCAAGAGUUGGAUGUUUCAAACAAUCAUUUGUAUGGUAAAGUACCAUCAUUCCGUAAAGAAGUGUCUGUUAAGGUAGAUGGGAAUCAUGAUAUUGGAAAGAAUAAACCAACUGUGAUUGACUCAGGUUCUAAUAAAGAUAAUGCUGAUGGUAGCAACCAUGGUAGCAGCAAUAAUGCUGGAGUCAUUGUUGUAAUUAUAGUGGUGGUUGCUAUUGUUCUUGUUACCGGGGUUCUAAUACUUUUUAAGUUCGGGGGGAAGUGGAAAUAUGCGAGGAAAACUAAAAAUCCAAGUGGCAUCUUGGUUCUUCCUCACUAUUAUGGGGAUGGAAAUGCUACGAAGACAACAAGUGGUGGAGGUUAUGGGGAAGGAACUACUAGUACAUUAUUAAGUCCCACAGCUAGUGUUUAUCAGGGAGAAGCUGCUAACAUGUUAAUUUCAAUUCAAGUUUUGAGAGAAGUUACCAACAAUUUCAGUGAAGAAAACAUAUUGGGGAAAGGGGGGUUUGGGACUGUAUACAAAGGAGAAUUGCAUGAUGGGACGAAAAUUGCGGUGAAAAGGAUGCAAUCAGCAGGGUUGGUGGAUGAGAAAGGGUUGAGUGAGUUCACAGCUGAAAUUGCAGUGCUUACUAAGGUUAGACACAGAAAUUUGGUUGCACUCUUGGGGUUUUGCUUGGAUGGAAGUGAGAGACUUCUUGUCUAUGAGUACAUGCCUCAGGGUGCACUUAGUAAACAUUUGAUUAACUGGAAAGCUGAAGGGAUAAAGCCAUUGGAAUGGAAGACAAGGCUUAGCAUUGCCUUGGAUGUUGCUAGAGGUGUUGAAUAUCUUCAUGGUUUGGCACAACAAAUUUUCAUCCAUAGGGAUCUCAAACCAUCUAAUAUUUUGCUUGGAGAUGAUAUGCGUGCUAAAGUAUCAGAUUUUGGAUUGGUUCGACUUGCUCCUGAAGGGAAAACCUCAUUUCAAACUAGACUUGCUGGAACUUUUGGAUACAUGGCACCAGAGUAUGCAGCCACUGGAAGACUUACAACAAAGGUUGAUGUAUAUAGUUUUGGAGUGAUUCUUAUGGAAAUGAUAACCGGAAGGAAAGCACUCGAUGAUAGUCUGCCAGAAGAGAACAUCCAUCUUGUUACAUGGUUCCGGAAGAUGCUACAGAACAAAGAUUCAUUCCCAACAAUCAUCGACCAAACAAUUGAAGUUGAUGAGGAAACCUUAGCCAGCAUUAGUACUGUUGCACAGUUAGCAGGGCACUGCUGUGCAAGGGAGCCUUAUCAACGUCCUGACAUGAGUCAUGCAGUGAAUGUGUUGUCAUCUCUUGUUCAGGUUUGGAAGCCUUCUGAAACAAAUGUUGAUGACAUAUAUGGAAUUGACUUGGAUAUGACAUUACCAGAAGCACUCAAAAGGUGGCAAGAUUUUGAAGGAAGUAGCACCACUCAAGAAUUAAUUUCUCGUUCAUCACUGCAACUUAAUGGAAAUAACACAUCUUCAGUUGUAGGUCCCUUUACACCUUCAGAUGGACGAUGAUGUUAUAUCAAUGUAAUCACUUAUUUUGUCUCCUACUCUACAAUAUUCCCCCAAACAAUACCCUCAGCUUAAUGGAUUCUUUUAUUCAAAAGGAAAUAAAAACCCAGCUUAAUUUCUUGUUAAGGAACCUGUACCUGUUCCGGGUACGACGUGGUCUGACUCCAACUUCGCUCUUCAGUCUUCUUACUUUCCCAUCCGGUGCCCAGGUUAUACUGAAAGGAGGAUAUGCUUGCAAACAACACUCCAAUGUUCAAGUCAAAUAUCGGUUCAAUACAGAUAUAUUUAUGCUAUUUAUGAUGAGACCAGAUCCUAAUGGACCUUAGUAUGUGAUUAUCAAAUAUGUAAUACGUGAUAAUCCAUGUUUUAUUGUGGUUAGACUUAAUUAUUCAUUUAUUUUUAAUAGUUAAUCGGGCAGGUA